GAUGAACGCUGGCGGCGUGCUUAACACAUGCAAGUCGAACGGAAAGGCCGAAGCUUGCUUCGGUACUCGAUUGGCGAACGGGUGAGUAACACGUGGGUGAUCUGCCCUGUACUUCGGGAUAAGCUUGGGAAACUGGGGCUAAUACCGGAUAUGACAAUCUCUUGGAUGGGGUUGUGGAAAGCUUUUGCGGUAUGGGAUGAGCUCGCGGCCUAUCAGCUUGUUGGUGGGUUAAUGGCCUACCAAGGCGUCGACGGGUAGCCGGCCUGAGAGGGUGUACGGCGACAUUGGGACUGAGAUACGGACCAGAAUCGUACGGGAGGCAGCAGUGGGGAAUAUUGCACAAUGGGCGCAAGCCUGAUGCAGCGACGCCGCGUGGGGGAUGACGGCCUUCGGGUUGUAAACUCCUUUCGCAACCGACGAAGCUUUUGUGACGGUAGGUUGAGAAGAAGCACCGGCUAACUACGUG
rnacentral:rRNA from 1 species